UAGCUACAGGCUUAACACAUGCAAGUCGAGGGGAAACGACAUCGAAAGCUUGCUUUUGAUGGGCGUCGACCGGCGCACGGGUGAGUAACGCGUAUCCAACCUGCCCAUCACUUGGGGAUAACCUUGCGAAAGUAAGACUAAUACCCAAUGACGUCUCUAGAAGACAUCUGAAAGGGAUUAAAGAUUUAUCGGUGAUGGAUGGGGAUGCGUCUGAUUAGCUUGUUGGCGGGGUAACGGCCCACCAAGGCGACGAUCAGUAGGGGUUCUGAGAGGAAGGUCCCCCACAUUGGAACUGAGACACGGUCCAAACUCCUACGGGAGGCAGCAGUGAGGAAUAUUGGUCAAUGGGCGAGAGCCUGAACCAGCCAAGUAGCGUGCAGGAUGACGGCCCUAUGGGUUGUAAACUGCUUUUAUAAGGGAAUAAAGUGAGUCUCGUGAGACUUUUUGCAUGUACCUUAUGAAUAAGGACCGGCUAAUUCCGUGCCAGCAGCCGCGGUAAUACGGAAGGUCCGGGCGUUAUCCGGAUUUAUUGGGUUUAAAGGGAGCGUAGGCCGGAGAUUAAGCGUGUUGUGAAAUGUAGACGCUCAACGUCUGCACUGCAGCGCGAACUGGUUUCCUUGAGUACGCACAAAGUGGGCGGAAUUCGUGGUGUAGCGGUGAAAUGCUUAGAUAUCACGAAGAACUCCGAUUGCGAAGGCAGCUCACUGGAGCGCAACUGACGCUGAAGCUCGAAAGUGCGGGUAUCGAACAGGAUUAGAUACCCUGGUAGUCCGCACGGUAAACGAUGGAUGCCCGCUGUUGGUCUGAAUAGGUCAGCGGCCAAGCGAAAGCAUUAAGCAUCCCACCUGGGGAGUACGCCGGCAACGGUGAAACUCAAAGGAAUUGACGGGGGCCCGCACAAGCGGAGGAACAUGUGGUUUAAUUCGAUGAUACGCGAGGAACCUUACCCGGGCUUGAAUUGCAGAGGAAGGAUUUGGAGACAAUGACGCCCUUCGGGGCCUCUGUGAAGGUGCUGCAUGGUUGUCGUCAGCUCGUGCCGUGAGGUGUCGGCUUAAGUGCCAUAACGAGCGCAACCCCUCUCCUUAGUUGCCAUCAGGUCAAGCUGGGCACUCUGGGGACACUGCCACCGUAAGGUGUGAGGAAGGUGGGGAUGA
rnacentral:rRNA from 1 species